UUAGUUGAACCCAAAAUAGAGGGAAUUCAUUGUUAAUGAUAAAAUUGAAUUAAUAUUCCACCUAAA
rnacentral:tRNA from 1 species